rnacentral:rRNA from 1 species
AGCAGCCGCGGUAAUUCCAGCUCCAAUAGCGUAUAUUAAAGUUGUUGCAGUUAAAAAGCUCGUAGUUGAAUUUCGAGACCGGUUUACUGGUCGUGCUUUUGUACGUACUGGUAUUAUUGGUUUCUCCUUUCUGACGAAUCUUAAUGCCAUUAAUUUGGUGUUUUGGGGAAUCAGGACUGUUACUUUGAAAAAAUUAGAGUGUUUAAAGCAGGCUCACGCUUGAAUACAUUAGCAUGGAAUAACGAAAUAGGACGUUUGAUUUUAUUUUGUUGGUUUCUAGGAUCGACGUAAUGAUUAAUAGGGAUAGUUGGG